rnacentral:rRNA from 1 species
UACGUAGGCAGCGAGCGUUGUUCGGAAUUACUGGGCGUAAAGAGUGUGUAGGCGGUGCUCUAAGUUCGGUGUGAAAUCUCCUGGCUCAACUGGGAGGGUGCGCCGGAAACUGGAGUGCUUGAGCGUGGGAGAGGAAAGCGGAAUUCCUGGUGUAGCGGUGAAAUGCGCAGAUAUCAGGAGGAACACCGGUGGCGAAGGCGGGUCUCUGGGCCGAUACUGACGCUGAGGAGCGAAAGCGUGGGGAGCAAACAGG